UGGGGAAUAUUUCACAAUGGGCGCAAGCCUGAUGCAGCAACGCCGCGUGAACGAUGAAGGUCUUCGGAUCGUAAAGUUCUGUUGCAGGGGAAGAUAAUGACGGUACCCUGUGAGGAAGCCCCGGCUAACUACGUGCCAGCAGCCGCGGUAAUACGUAGGGGGCUAGCGUUAUCCGGAUUUACUGGGCGUAAAGGGUGCGUAGGUGGUCUUUCAAGUCGGUGGUUAAAGGCUACGGCUCAACCGUAGUUAGCCUCCGAAACUGGAAGACUUGAGUGCAGGAGAGGAAAGUGGAAUUCCCAGUGUAGCGGUGAAAUGCGUAGAUGUUGGGAGGAACACCAGUAGCGAAGGCGGCUUUCUGGACUGCAACUGACACUGAGGCACGAGAGCGUGGGUAGCAAACAGG
rnacentral:rRNA from 1 species